rnacentral:rRNA from 1 species
UGCAGUCGAACGGUAACAUUUCUAGCUUGCUAGAAGAUGACGAGUGGCGGACGGGUGAGUAAUGCUUGGGAACUUGCCUUUGCGAGGGGGAUAACAGUUGGAAACGACUGCUAAUACCGCAUAAUGUCUUCGGACCAAACGGGGCUUCGGCUCCGGCGCAAAGAGAGGCCCAAGUGAGAUUAGCUAGUUGGUAAGGUAACGGCUUACCAAGGCGACGAUCUCUAGCUGUUCUGAGAGGAAGAUCAGCCACACUGGGACUGAGACACGGCCCAGACUCCUACGGGAGGCAGCAGUGGGGAAUAUUGCACAAUGGGGGAAACCCUGAUGCAGCCAUGCCGCGUGUGUGAAGAAGGCCUUCGGGUUGUAAAGCACUUUCAGUUGUGAGGAAAAGUUAGUAGUUAAUACCUGCUAGCCGUGACGUUAACAACAGAAGAAGCACCGGCUAACUCCGUGCCAGCAGCCGCGGUAAUACGGAGGGUGCGAGCGUUAAUCGGAAUUACUGGGCGUAAAGCGCACGCAGGCGGUUUGUUAAGCUAGAUGUGAAAGCCCCGGGCUCAACCUGGGAUGGUCAUUUAGAACUGGCAGACUAGAGUCUUGGAGAGGGGAGUGGAAUUCCAGGUGUAGCGGUGAAAUGCGUAGAUAUCUGGAGGAACAUCAGUGGCGAAGGCGACUCCCUGGCCAAAGACUGACGCUCAUGUGCGAAAGUGUGGGUAGCGAACAGGAUUAGAUACCCUGGUAGUCCACACCGUAAACGCUGUCUACUAGCUGUGUGUGCCUUUAAGGCGUGCGUA